rnacentral:rRNA from 1 species
UACGAAGGGGGCUAGCGUUGUUCGGAAUUACUGGGCGUAAAGCGUGCGCAGGCGGUUCUUCAAGUCAGUGGUGAAAGCCCGGAGCUCAACUCCGGAACUGCCAUUGAAACUGUAGAGCUAGAGUACGAGAGAGGUGAGUGGAAUUCCCAGUGUAGAGGUGAAAUGCGUAGAUAUCAAGAGGAACACCUGCGGCGAAGGCGGGUUGCUGGGCCGACACUGACGCUGAGGCGCGAAAGCCAGGGGAGCGAACGGG